rnacentral:rRNA from 1 species
GACGGAGGGUGCUAGCGUUGUUCGGAAUCACUGGGCGUAAAGGGCGCGUAGGCGGCCUUGCAAGUCGGUUGGUGAAAGCCCGGGGCUCAACCCCGGAGGUGCGGCCGAGACUGCAGGGCUGGAGGCCGGAAGAGGAGGGUGGAAUACCCAGUGUAGAGGUGAAAUUCGUAGAUAUCGGGAGGAACACCGGUGGCGAAGGCGGCGACCUGGGUCGACACUGACGCUCAGGCACGAAAGCGUGGGGAGCAAAAGGG